CUUUUUAAAUUUGAUCAUCAAUUUUAGGUCAUGUGACAUGAUUGGAUGCUUUUCUCACAUGAUAUUGGUUAAUUUGGUGGUGGAUUCCAAUUUGAUUAGUUGAGCUUGAUUGCAUAAAAAAUACCUAGAGAAGACCACUUCAAGCCUUUACUCUAUUAUUUUCUUUAUGUGACAUGCACUCAUAACAAAUGAAACUCUAGAACUUGCUUUGCUUCUUUUCAAGGUCACAAUAGCAUAUGUAUGCAUGGAGAUGAAGGAUUAUUUCAUUCUUGAUCCCUCAUAAAUUCCAAUUCCUUUCUUCAUAAUUUUCUUAAAACAUUUUUUCUCUUGCACUUUAAUUCUUGACAAUCUUUGUUUGUCAUUCUUUUAUUGAGAGUUUUGGUAGAUUUUCUUGAUGAGUGGAUUGUUUGAGAUGGAUAAAUUUCAAGUGUGGGGGAUUUGAUUUGGAUUAAACCAGAGGUCGUGAAGAUUUUUGAUGCUUCAUGAAGGUUGACCUUUGCUUUGUGAGCAUGAUAUGGAAGUGAUAGAAGUUCUUCAAUUGUAUGGGUUACAGAAAUUUUUCGAACAUAAUCAAGUGCUUAAACUUAUGUGAGUUGGUGGGUUAGUUUUUCAUUCAUUCGAAUAUAAGCCUCAGAUGGAUGCUAUAUACUUUUAAAAGGAAUCAAAUUCUUACAUUUAGAGUUUAAUGUAUCAAUGGUGUGCCAAACUUGGUUGUGGAAUUGAGGUUAGGAAGAAGCUAAUGAGAAAAGGAAGAAGAGUGAUACUGGAAUAUGUUACAAGGGUCUGAGAUGCUGAAUUUACUAUAGUAGACCACUGUAGGUGUUCAAUGAAGCUUGAUUUGGUUUUCUAUCAACGUAAUAGAGAUACACAAAUUCAGUUAAGAGAUACUGAGUACUAGUUCAAUAGCAAGAGAAGAAAAGGAGGUUGAAACUGAUUUCUGGACUAAAGAAGAUUCCUUAAAACUGAUUAUGAAAUUUAUUCUUCUUGAUAAGGCAACAUUUACAAAGUCUACAUUGAAUUCUGGAAGAUUAUGGAAGUGUAGAUGGAAGAACACUUAAGUCAUUCUGAUCAAGUAUUCUUUAAAUUCUGCAAGCAGUGCUGAUUAAAUUUCUUUUAUAAGCUGAAUUCUGAAACUUAAGCAUCAAAACAGAAUGCAUCAAAUCAAAUUCAAUUCUGUUAGUUUCAUUCAAUCAGAAUCUGUUCUUAAAUUCAUGCAUUUUAUUCUAGUUGAGGAUUUUGAAGUGGAGAUUCAGAACUAUGCUAUGAAAAAGAAAAGAAACCAGUAGAAUGAUUGUUUAUAAAAAUAAAAUGUUUGGUGCCAAUUAUUUGUGCUAAUUCUGACCAGCAGCAAUCUGAAUUUGAACUUUUAACAGUCCAGAGCCAAAUGAUACCUUCAUCUUAGCUGGAUUUUAUUUGAUUUAAGAUAAAGCCACUUCAGAAUCUCAAUGCUGAAACUUAGACUUUAAUACUGAAAAUUCUGGUUAUGAAGCUUGAAACUGCAGAAAUACAUUAAAAUUUCUGGAACUGAUCUAUGGAUGAAUUUGUUGUGCUGUUAUAAGUUGAGCUAUGAACCUGAUCAAUGAACUAUAGGAGUUCCUCAAGCUUGCAUUCAAAUCUGAAUUCAAAGAAUAUGUUUGAACCCGGCAAAAUUCUAUGUUUGAACCCGGCAAAAUUCUGAAAAUGCAGAAUUUGUUUGAUACACUGGAAAAAGAUAAAUUCUGUUGCUAAAUUUUCUAGGAACUGACCUCAAGCUUUUAUCAUACUAUUGCCAUAUGAGAAUCCUUGUUGAGCUGAGCUGUUCAUGAUUCAAGCCAAAUUACGAUUUCUGAACUAUGAAAAGAAAAAUAAUCAGCAUUUAGCUAUAUUUCUAGAAUUCAUUGGCUGUGAUUGAUGUUUCAUAUACCUUAUUUCUGAGGUGGCAUGAUUACAACUCUUAGGAUGUUCAGCCAACAAGUGUUAUCUGUAAACAGAUUCUGAUUUGCAGGAAGUUGCUGUGCAGUUAGCUGUGCUACAUUGUGUAAGAGUUUUGCAAUUGAACGGAAUGAGAUUUUGCAGAAACUAAUUUACAAUUGUGGAAAUUCUGAACUGAAGAAGACCAAAAACAGAGUGAGGAAAAGAGCAGAACCUGCAGAGAGUGGCUAUUGACAUUAAAUGAAGACUGAUGCUAGAUGUCGAGGCAGAAAUAGAGGAAGACAGUGAUACUUAAUUUCUGUUAGCUGGGAAUCUUGAAGCUGGUUUGAACUAGAAUGGAUAAAGAUUGCGGAAUUGCUGAAUCUGGACUUUCUGAAAUCAGGAAACCAGUAUUAAUUUUGAAAUAUGGAAUUGGAACUAAUCAAGUUGCUGGAAGUGGUUGCUAAAUCGGGAUACCAUAGAUUGGGUAAGAAUUGGAUGUAAAAUGCAACUGUGGUGUUUUCUGAUAUUGUUGCAGUAAUUCAGAGUUGGAGUUGGAAGUUUUUUUUUUCUGGACAUUGCUAUUUUAUACAACUAUUUUGAAAUUCAUCAAUUGGGGCUUGAGUGGCAGCUAAAUCUGUACAGAAGAUUUAUUUGAAAUGCUGAAAAUCUGUUGCUGCGGAAGCAUGACAGUGAGGUUGAUAUGGAAAUGCAGGAUUGGAAAGCUAACAAUUUAGUUGAGAGGCACAAUUUGGUUGGUUUGUUGGAAUGAUACAUCAUGUUUAUUUUCAAUUGGUAUCAAUUCCCUUCCAAUUCUUACAUGAUGAGAAGCUGGAAACUGUUGUGUAUCAAAAUACAGUAUCAAAUUCUAUCUCUGCAAAAUUUUCAUUUUUGCAUUUCCAAUUUCUUACAGAAUUCAGUAGUAAAUGCAUUUGGCUUAGUUGUUGAACUCUCUUUAAGUAUGAUGUAAUAGAAGUUGGAUCUAGAGAAUGGGUUGUGCAGGAAAUUUUCAGAAAUCAAAUUUGAGUGAAAGUUUAAAAGUAUUCUAGAAUUUGGAGGGAGAUGCUGUUCUAGGAUUCAAAUUUCAUCAAAUAAUUCUUUAUUCACUAAAAGCCUUGAAGAUUUUGGGAAUUUAAAUUCAGAAUAUCUGAAGCAUAAACUGAAAAAAAAAAUGAAUGGGAUUCCUGUAAAUUCUGAUAGUAAGAAAUUAUAGUGCAGUUUUAUUUCUGAUCAAGCUUGAUUCCUGAAAUUGGUCUUGAAGUCAUACAUUGUAGAGAUCACUUCCAUGUUAGAGUGUUCACAUAUGAUGUUGCAGGGAAUACAAAAUCUGUAGCAGCAGAUGUUAGGGUCCGGAUUCCAAUUACAGAAAUAGCACACCAAAGCAGUAAGCAAGUAACAAAAUUCAGUUCUGGAUGCAGAAACUAUCAAGGGUGUACCAAAAUGCUAUGAGUAGCUUACAAAACAAUGAAGAAAAACAGUGAAGCUAUGGUAUUUCCAGUAAUAAAUGGGGUUCUUGUAUUUCUAGGUCCUAUACAAACUGAAUGGACAGAAUUCUCGAAAAUCAGUUGCUGAAAAGUAGAAACAGAGAGCUAAAGGCUGGAAAUCUGUUAUAAUCUAUAGAAUGCAGUUAUAACUAAAUUGUUGAUUCAAUGGAAGACUCAAGCAAGGUUGGGGAGUAAAAUUUGGUUUCUGAGAUAAAAAAAUUGAUGCUGGAAGAAUGAAUAGCUACAUUAGUUGAAGAGAUUCUGGAUUUUAGAUAUGGAAACUUAACUGUAAUGCAAGUAGGAACUGAUAAGUGCAAAACUGAGAAGUUCUGUGACUUUGUAUCAAGAUGUAUCAAUAAUCAGAAACAACAAUUAAACAAUUGAGAAACUGAAGUGAAGACUUACAAGAUGCAGUAACAAAUGGAUUUCAGCUUCUUACGAUCUUUUCAAGCUUUAGGAAUUGAAAUGCAGAAAUUAAGUUUGCUGCUGUGCAUGAAUGGAAAGUAUUACAAGUUUUAGGUGGCAUUGCUGAAUUUGUAUUCUUAAGUUCUGAUUUGCAGGCAAUUUCUGAAAUCUGCUGUGGAAUCUGAAAGGGAACUGGAAUUUGAGUUAUGUAAUGCAGGAAGUUUUUGGUUUAAAUCUGAAAUAACCUUCUUGAGAUCUUUUGAAGUUGAUUCCUCUGUCCAAAUUUCUGAUAGAAGUUAUAAUGUUCAGAAAUAGAGAGUUAAAUAUCAGAAUUUUAGGGAGUUUGUGAUCUUAUUAAGUAGCUGAAACUUAAGAAGAUCUAGCAUAUUCUUUUAGUUGAACUCAAGUUGGUCUAGAAAAUUCUUAAACCGGAGCUAAUGAUGUUGAUGCAAAAAGGCCGACACCAAAUUUUGGCGCCAUUGUCGGGGAGCUAUUCCUAUCUCUUUGAUAAAUAGAUUUGAAUGGAUUCAAUCAACUCGGGAAACUGUCUUGUGCAACUGAUGAUGCUGUUCUCAUCAGCAUAGCCAUGAAGAAAUGAAUCAGAUUCUGAUUUCUUGAAGCUGAAAUGUGGUAAAUUCUGUUGCAAGCUUAUAAACAGAAAGAGUUCGAGUGGACUUGAUUUUUCAUUAACAUGCUUGCCAUGAGUAGGUGAAUGGAUGAUGGAUGCAAUUUCAAUGAUACUGAUAUUCUAAGCUGUUAAAGUCUGAAAUUGAAAUAUGGGAAACCAGAAUUCAAAAAUCAAUUGUAGUUCUGAAUGUUGCAGAAUUUAAUUGGAUCUUAGAAGCUUCUUGGUUGCUAAAGGUAGAGCUGUGAAGAGAAUUGAAAUAAAUGGUAGAGAAUAGAUUACAGUUGAGUUGUAUUAAAUGUGUGCCAAAAGUUUAUCAGCAGGCUUCAAAUCAUAGAGGAACUUAAGUGAAGAUCUCGUAUUUCACGCUAAAUGAUUCAUCUUUCCAAGCUGAAUUCUAUUAACAUGACUGCUGUAGGAGUUCAAGGAAGCUUGAUUUGAUUGAAAUUGAAACUCCCGAACUGAAGUAUCCAGCAGAGUUCAUUUAUGUUGUUGCUGGGCAUAGAAUCUGUUCGGAUUUGAAAUCUGAUUUCAGAGAUGGACCAAGCUGCCGAAAAUAUACUUCUGCUGCACGUUCACUAAUGCUGAAUUCUGAAAUUGUGAAACUGAAAUCUGGGAACUGCAGCUAAAUUUAAUUGCUUGAGUUGGAAUUCAAGAGUUCCAACUAAAUGAUUGCAAUUUUCUAUGACAGCAAUCUAAGAGGAUUUUUCCUACACUUCUAACUGGGAAGUUUCAGAACUGGGAAGAAAAGCUAGAAGUGGCUCUGUUAUGAUGAAUUCAAAUAUGCAGAGAAAGAAAGACAAAGAAAAAUUGCAGUAAAGAAAAGCAGUGACUACAAUUUAGCCAAUGGAUUCCGGAACUGUUUUGUGCCAAUAAUUGAUACUAUUUUUGAUGGAAUCAAUUUUAAUUCUGUGUCCUUAUCAGUAUAAUUCUGAAGUGAAGUUUUAAUUAUUCCAGAGCUGUUUGAUACCCUUUAUUAUACUUAAUUCUUCAUGAUUCAUGCAAAUUCCUUAAAAGAGAGUAUCAUAUUUCUGAAACUGUAAUUUCAAAACCAGCAAUUACCUUGAAUCAAAUUUUUGAAUUGAGUCCUUGAUCUGAUUUUCUGAACCUUUUUGUUGAACUGUUUAAAUGCAUACAGGAGUUCUACCAUAGAAGGCCUCAGAAUUGAUCAGUUUUGCUUCAGAAUUUGAGUUCGAACAGGGAAAAUGCUUGCUGUUAAAAUAGGAAUGAGUGGAGUGAAGAUAUUCAGAAAAUGCAGAAUUCUGUUAAUUAAUAAUGUGGCAUUUCUGUACUAAUUGGGAAAUGAAUUUUAAUGAAUUGCUAUGGGACAGGAUACAAAAGUCUGAUGUUUGAAUCUGCAAAGACAGUAACAGAGAAAAAGAAGAAAAAAAUCUGCAGUUUGGAUACAAGAAAUGUGUCUAGAAGAGUAUCAAGAUUGGAUAUUUAUGAUGUGUUUCAUUGUCCGAGACGGGCAAUAUUUUAAGUGUGGGGGAGGGAAUUCUUCAUAAGUUGAAGUGAUAUUAUUUGAGCUUUCAAAGUGAUGGAAUGAAGUGGAAAAACAGUAAAAACAGUGAAGAAAGAAAAAAAUGGCACAUUUAAGAGAGUAUCAAAGUUGAAGAUAGAGUAUCAAGAUUCUAUGUUUGCAUUCAAAUUGAAGGAGAGGUUAGCUUGAUACUUUGAAGUGGUAAUAACAAAUGGCAUCAAAAGGGUCAUGGACCCGAUCACAUCAAGCCACAUUUGGGCUCAAAUCAAGGGCUAAUCAAGUCGAUCAAGCCUUGGAGUGUUUUGGACUGUCCAUUGAAGAUUAAGCAGAUCUAGGCCAUCCGUUGAAGAUCUGGCCCAUCCAACCUAAUGAGGAGCAGAUCUGGACCGUAGAUGAAGAUCAGUACUAUUGGAUCGGAUUUUAGACUGUUUCCCACCGUUGAUCAAGCUCCGAGAAAUCUCAGCCGUUCGAUCAGAGAAGGGAGGAUUUAAAACCCGCGUGAGAAGCUACAGUACACUUGGGCUCGGUCGCGAUUUUCUUCUAUAGUGUCGUCGUCUUCUCCUCCGCAACGCUGAGUUCCCGUUCCAAAUUCCAGAUCCGAUGAGCUUAGAUUCUUCUCCGACGGCAAUCCAGCUGCCGGCGUUCAACAUCCGGUGAUCAGAGAGUGGCAGAAGGGAGGUUUCUUUAGCCACGAUUCGGGUUUUGUUUCACAGAGCAUUCCUGUGAGGGGAGGUUUCCGAUCAGCGAAUUCCAUAUCCAACUGAGCUCAGAGGGAGGUUUCUUUGAGUUUCAGAUCCUUUUCCGAUCUCCAUUCAACAGCUAUAUUGGGUCGACGUGGCUAUUCGAUUUGGUAUGAAAUUCACAGAUCCUGAGCUUUGUUUUCGGUUGUUGAGAUUAUCAGAGGGAUGUGAGCUUAAGGGGAGGUUUCCAAGAGCUGUGAGCAUUCUCUGGUAAUAGCUGGAGGUUAGAGAUUUGUUGUUGAGUGCUUGAUGGGAGGUUCCAAUGGCAGCUCUCUUUUUACAACAGAGUAGAAGGUUCUAGUUCCGGUUCUGGUUUAUGGAAUGUUAGGGUUUUAUUUUCUUUGUUGUGUCUUUGAAUUGUUCUCAAACCCUGAUCAUAUCUUCAGAUCUGAUACCUUCAUUUGCGAUUUCAAUUUCUGUUUGA